UUCAUUUUAUUCAUUAUCAUAGAUUGAAGGCUUAUGCUAGACGAAGAUAAUAGAGUACACAUUCUACUAAUUCAUUUAUUACUCUGUCGACCACUCUUUAUUCGUACUCGAGUGUAUGAGUAAGAAUGGUUUUCAUUUGCAGGCAUUGGUUCCUAAAAAGGGUUCGUUACUUUUUCUUCUUAAUUUUUGGGGCCAAAAAUUCAUUAUCUUACAAUCUGAAAAUUUUAAGGUACAACUAGAUGGUAUAUAACUAUUAAUUAAUUUUGUGUUCGUACUAGCAUAAUAGAAAUAUAUAAAUACUCGGCAAGUGGCACGUUAGCACCACACCUUCAGCACCAAUUUGCAGUGUGGUAUCCAGACGCAGAACCAACAGCAGCAGAAGAGGGCUAACAGUAAACAAUGAAGCAACCACCGCCAGCAGCAACACCUACAACACCUGUACCCCAAAUUGCAGAUAGGUGCCCAAAAAAUGCCCCCAGCUGCAACCUAAAGCUCAGAGACAAAAAUCUCAGCCAUACCAAACAGCAGCCCCUCAAAAACAAAGCCCAGUAGCAACCUGCAACUAAACAACAAAACACAGCAACACCAGCUAGACCCAAUCUGCAGCAACCUGGUUUACAACUUCCACAAUUAAUGAUAACCAGACCUUGGCAUGUUAUAGAAGGCAUGGCUUAGUAUUAAAAAAAUUAUAACUCAACCAAAUUAGACAUUAUAGAUAAGUUCAAUAAAGGUUCAAAGUUUCCCUUUUGCAACUGAUUUUCAACAAAACUAACUUGAUCUUCAUUCUCAAACUAGAUUCUAAUCUCAUUUUUAUUUGUUCAAUUCACUUAAAUCAUUACAUAAAACAGAUGUGAAAAGUUUACAAACUAUAAACCUAACCAAAUUCCUUAAUUUCAUCCAAAAGUUUCAAAGAAAACUUUUAUCAAACAUGACAUAUGCAUUCUUUAUUCUGGCAGAGAUCAUACAUGUUUAUAGAUAUAUAUAACCCCAUAUAUUACCUUCCUUAUAAUAUACUCCUCACAACAACUACUAAACUCCUUUCUUUCUACAAUUCAAACAAUAAUCAAACUAUAGAUCAAAAAUUCAUACUAUUUUAUAUUUAUAUUAACUACUUGAUAUAAACUUUAAAAACUCAUUCUUACCUCUGAUUUGCAGCCAAGUCUAAGCUUAAUGAUGCUUUAUUGUAGUUUGAUGCCAGGAAUAGCCUUUAAUUCAUUCAGACUUCAUAUCAUUUAAGUCAUUUUCUCCCAUUUUUGGCAGAACAAAAGAACACUUUUAGAGUUACUAACCAAAUUUUAGACAGAACAAAAUGGAACGGGUAGAAGACUGCUAUGAAAGGAUUUGAUAAUUUCCAUCCUCUGUUAUUAUCUUAUAUACUAACCAUCAUCAGAAUACUUGGUGGCAUCCUAAUUAAACUACAAAAACCUGCCGACUAAAUUAUAAAGACAUUUCCUCAAUAAAAAGUCAUAAACAUGGCAAACUCUAGAGAUCAUAUGUAUACUGAAAUCAUCAUCAUCAUCAUCAUCAUAUAUAUAUAUAUAUAUAUAUAUAUAUAUGUGUGUGUGUGUAUGUGUGUGUGUGUGUGUGUGUGUAUAUAGAGAGAGAGAGAGAGCAAGGAUCAAGUGCAUACCCCUUAUCUUACUCACCCGUGCUCACCCCCCUUUAGCGACGGACCCGGCGAUGAUUUUGGUCAUUCAACUGUCGUCUAUACUUUUAGUGACGGAUAACAUAUAGCGUCGCUAAAAGUAUAGACAAUGGUUGUAUGACCAAACCGUCGCCGGGUCCGUCGCUAAAGAGGGGUGAGCACGGGUGAGUAAGAUAAGGGGUAUGCACUUGAUUCGGACCGUAUAUANNNNNNNNNNNNNNNNNNNNNNNNNNNNNNNNNNNNNNNNNNNNNNNNNNNNNNNNNNNNNNNNNNNNNNNNNNNNNNNNNNNNNNNNNNNNNNNNNNNNNNNNNNNNNNNAUAUAUAUAUAUAUAAACACAUGCUUCGGAAAAAUAAACAAACAUAUUAAUCACUCAAAGUAUACUAAUAUUACCUGAAAUAGAGAAAAAAAGGCUGAAUUGAAUCGGAAGAAUCGCUUCCCGAAGCUGACGACUCCCAGACUACGAAUUAGCGAUUAUGAAGUGAAGCGGAUCUAGGGAUCAUAUGUAAACUAAAAUUGGGGAUUUGAGUUCAGGGCAUUAAAGUAGAGAUAGAAAUUGGGGUUUAAGUUUUAGGGAUUGUGUAGUAGUGUUAGAAACUUAAGUUUGAGGUGUAGCCUGUGGCGGUGAGAAGUAAUUCGACGUUCAACACCUUUUAGAUGGUUAUCAAUUUUUAAGCGGCUGGGAACUGAAAAUUUGGCAGGAAAAAAAUUGGGAGGGGCAAGACAAAAAUAUGGAGGGAAAUAUAAUUGGACCGAAAAUUCUUGCAGGAAAAAG
rnacentral:lncRNA from 1 species